rnacentral:rRNA from 1 species
UACGGGGGGAGCAAGCGUUGUUCGGAUUUACUGGGCGUAAAGGGCGCGUAGGCGGCCACCGCAAGUCGACUGUGAAAUCUCCGGGCUUAACCCGGAAAGGUCAGCCGAUACUGCGGGGCUAGAGUGCAGAAGGGGCAACUGGAAUUCGUCGGUGUAGCGGUGAAAUGCGUAGAUAUCGAGAGGAACACCUGCGGCGAAGGCGGGAUUGCUGGGCUGACACGUGACGCUGAGGCGCGAAAGCUAGGGGAGCGAACGGG